UCUCUGUUAGUAUAUCGGUUAGUACACGCGCCUGUCAAGCGUGGAUAAACCGACGGCGUGAAAGCGUGGGUUCAACUCCCCGACAGAGAA
rnacentral:tRNA from 1 species